UACGUAGGGUGCAAGCGUUGUCCGGAAUUAUUGGGCGUAAAGAGCUCGUAGGCGGUUUGUCGCGUCUGCUGUGAAAACCCGAGGCUCAACCUCGGGCCUGCAGUGGGUACGGGCAGACUAGAGUGCGGUAGGGGAGAUUGGAAUUCCUGGUGUAGCGGUGGAAUGCGCAGAUAUCAGGAGGAACACCAAUAGCGAAGGCAGCUCGCUGGGACGGUACUGACGCUAAGGCGCGAAAGCGUGGGGAGCGAACAGG
rnacentral:rRNA from 1 species